rnacentral:rRNA from 1 species
UGGGAUACCACUUGGAAACAGGUGCUAAUACCGGAUAAGAAAGCGGAUCGCAUGAUCAGCUUUUAAAAGGCGGCGUAAGCUGUCGCUAUGGGAUGGCCCCGCGGUGCAUUAGCUAGUUGGUAAGGUAAAGGCUUACCAAGGCGAUGAUGCAUAGCCGAGUUGAGAGACUGAUCGGCCACAUUGGGACUGAGACACGGCCCAAACUCCUACGGGAGGCAGCAGCG